UGUAGGAGCCGGCUUGCCGGCGAUGAGGCCCUUGAAAUCGAUGUAAUGUUCGAGGUCGCUAUCGCCGGCAAGCCGGCUCCUACA
rnacentral:misc_RNA from 1 species